rnacentral:rRNA from 1 species
UACCAGCUCUCCGAGUGGUAGGGAUGAUUAUUGGGCUUAAAGCGUUCGUAGCCGGUUUGGUAAAUGCCUGGGUAAAUUGUGUAGCUUAACUAUACAAAUUCCGGGUAGACUGCCAAACUUGAGACCGGGAGAAGCUAGAGGUACUCCUGGGGUAGAGGUGAAAUUCUGUAAUCCUGGGGGGACCACCAGUGGCGAAGGCGUCUAGCUAGAACGGGUUUGACGGUGAGGAACGAAGCCCUGGGGCGCAAACCGGAUUAGAUACCCGGGUAGUCCAGGGUGUAAACGCUGCUUGCUUGAUGUUAGUUGGGCUCCGAGCCCAAUUAGUGUCGGAGAGAAGUUGUUAAGCAAGCUGCCUGGGAAGUACGAUCGCAAGAUUGAAACUUAAAGGAAUUGGCGGGGGAGCACAGCAACGGGUGGAGCGUGCGGUUU